GGAUGAACGCUGGCGGCGUGCCUACUCCAUGCAAGUCGAGCGAACAGACGAGGAGCUUGCUCCUCUGACGUUAGCGGCGGACGGGUGAGUACCACGUGGAUAACCUACCUAUAUGACUGGGAUAACUUCGGGAAACCGGUGCUACUACCGGAUAAUAUAUUGAACCGCAUGGUUCAAUAGUGAAAGACGGUUUUGCUGUCACUUAUAGAUGGAUCCGCGCCGCAUUAGCUAGUUGGUAAGGUAACGGCUUACCCAGGCAACGAGGCGUAGCCGACCUGAGGGGGGGGUCGGCCACACUGGAACGGGAACGCGGUCCAGACGCCUGCGGGAGGCAGCAGUAGGGAAUCGUCCGCAAUGGGCGAAAGCCUGACGGAGCAACGCCGCGUGAGUGAUGAAGGUCUUCGGAUCGUAAAACUCUGUUAUGAGGGAAGAACAAAUGUGUAAGUAACUAUGCACGUCUUGACGGUACCUAAUCAGAAAGCCACGGCUAACUACGUG
rnacentral:rRNA from 1 species